rfam:Asian citrus Psyllid, Diaphorina citri - Florida Strain, whole genome shotgun sequence.
GUCAGUGGCAAUAGCACGUUGAAAGCAGCAGUGCUCAAGAGGUCACUAAAGCUAAGCAACGUUUGCUCGUGGUUGGUAUCUAGAUGGGUGACCAUCUGGGCAAAUAAGUUCUCCUAAAA